UAUUAAAAUUUUCAUCCAUUUAUAUUGUUAAAAAUUGGUAUGGUUGACGGAAUAACCAUAAAGUAACAUGUGAGACAUGUAUCUCAUGUAAACAUAUAAAGACUAUUUUUUAAUAAUAGAAAUAGAUACAUUUUUAACA
rfam:Gossypium hirsutum cultivar TM-1 chromosome 22, whole genome shotgun sequence